UACAUGGGGUGCAAACGUUGCUCGGAAUUAUUGGGCGUAAAGGGCGCGUAGGCGGCCUGUUAAGUCGAACGUGAAAUCCCCAAGCUUAACCGGGGAACUGCGUCCGAUACUGGUUGGCUUGAGUUUGGGAGAGGGAUGCGGAAUUCCAGGUGUAGCGGUGAAAUGCGUAGAUAUCUGGAGGAACACCGGUGGCGAAGGCGGCAUCCUGGACCAAUACUGACGCUGAUGCGCGAAAGCUAGGGGAGCGAACGGG
rnacentral:rRNA from 1 species